UUUAGAUGCUGAUAUCCUCUUGCCAGUCAUUAUCACCACAUUCAUCAUUCUUGGCGUCCUGCUGAUACUUGGAAUUGUGCACUUGAGGGAGAAGAUUGCUGAAAGUACAGCAGACACAAGGGCCCCAAAUGAUACCACACAGAGUGACUCAGGUCUCCUGUACAGCACCAUCACAGCAAGAGCCACGACCUCUGACCCCACACAGAGAGUGACCUCAUAUGAUCAAGACGACAUUCAGUAUGCCAGUGUUCAGAUCAAUCCCUCCAAAAGACAGGAGGUGCCUCUAAACUCCACUGUUAACACACUUCUGACAUCCACACUGGACAACAUUGUCUACACUUCAGUUCAGCUCCUCAGAGGGAGUGCUGC